rnacentral:rRNA from 1 species
AUUGAACGCUGGCGGCAGGCCUAACACAUGCAAGUCGAACGAGUGGCGGACGGGCGAGUAAUGUCUGGGAAACUGCCUGAUGUAGCGGUCUAACUACUGGAAACGGUAGCAAAUACCGCAUACCGUGAUAUCUGCCCAGAGGGGAGUAGCUAGCUGGUGUGGUAACGGCUCACCAAGGCGACGAUCCCUAGCUGGUCUGAGAGGAUGACCAGCCACACUGGGACUGAGACACGGCCCAGACUCCUACGGGAGGCAGCAGUGGGGAAUAUUGCACAAUGGGCGAAAGUCUGAUGCAGCAAUGCCGCGUGGAUGAAGAAGGCCUUCGGGUUGUAAAGCACUUUCAGCGGGGAGGCGUUACCUGAAGAAGAAGCACCGGCUAACUCCGUGCCAGCAGCCGCGGUAAUAC